rnacentral:misc_RNA from 1 species
AACGCACCUUGCGCUCUUUGGUAUUCCGAAGAGCAUGCCUGUUUGAGUGUCAUUAAAUUCUCAACCUUAUCAGCUUUUGCUGGUAAUGGCUUGGAUGUGGGGGUUGUUUUGCUGGCUUCGUCAAGAGGUCUGCUCCCCUUAAAUGCAUUAGCCGGUGCCCCGCGUGGACUGUCUAUUGGUGUGAUAAUUAUCUACGCCAUGGAUGUCUGCUUUAAUUGGGAUGCGCUGCUCCUAACCGUCUAUUCAGUUAGACAAUCAAUGACAAUUUGACCUCAAAUCAGGUAGGACUACCCGCUGAACUUAA